rnacentral:rRNA from 1 species
UACGGGGGGGGCAAGCGUUGUUCGGAAUUACUGGGCGUAAAGGGUCUGUAGGUGGCCAACUAAGUCAGACGUGAAAUCCCUCAGCUUAACUGGGGAACUGCGUCUGAUACUGGUUGGCUUGAGUGCAGGAGAGGAAUGCGGAAUUCCAGGUGUAGCGGUGAAAUGCGUAGAUAUCUGGAGGAACACCGGUGGCGAAGGCGGCAUUCUGGGCUGCAACUGACACUGAAAGACGAAAGCCAGGGGAGCAAACGGG